AAGGAAUUAAGUUAAAAAAGAAGCUGCUAACUCUCUUUUGAAGCGGUUAAAUUCCGUUUUUUCCUUG
rnacentral:tRNA from 1 species